rnacentral:rRNA from 1 species
AGUGAACGCUGGCGGUAGGCCUAACACAUGCAAGUCGAACGGCAGCACAGUAAGAGCUUGCUCUUACGGGUGGCGAGUGGCGGACGGGUGAGGAAUACAUCGGAAUCUACUUUUUCGUGGGGGAUAACGUAGGGAAACUUACGCUAAUACCGCAUACGACCUACGGGUGAAAGCAGUGGAUCUUCGGACCUUGCGCGAUUGAAUGAGCCGAUGUCGGAUUAGCUAGUUGGCUGGGUAAAGGCCCACCAAGGCGACGAUCCGUAGCUGGUCUGAGAGGAUGAUCGGCCACACUGGAACUGAGACACGGUCCAGACUCCUACGGGAAGCAGCAGUGGGGAAUAUUGGACAAUGGGCGCAAGCCUGAUCCAGCCAUACCGCGUGGGUGAAGAAGGCCUUCGGGUUGUAAAGCCCUUUUGUUGGGAAAGAAAAGCAGCAGGUUAAUACCCCGCUGUUCUGACGGUACCCAAAGAAUAAGCACCGGCUAACUUCGUG